rnacentral:sRNA from 1 species
GAGGCGCCGGGCGGAGCGGCUGCGGGCCGAAACGCCAUGCGGAGGGGCGAGCGCAGGGACGCCGGGGGUCCGCGGCCCGAGUCCCCGGUGCCUGCGGGCAAGGCCUCGCUGGAGGAGCCGCCUGACGGGCCGUCUGCCGGCCAAGCCACCGGGCCGGGCGAGGGCCGCCGCAGCACCGAGUCCGAGGUCUACGACGACGGCACCAACACCUUCUUCUGGGCACAAAUAGUUUAUGUUUCAUGGAGGCAAGUCCUGGGCAACAUGCUUUAAGUGCGUUGUUCACUUAAUUUUCAUGAUGUUGUUGGAAGUCAGAAGCUCCCCCAUUUAGACAUGAGGACACACUCCGGUGGAUGUAGGACCUGGAUUAGACAUGAGGACACGCUCCGGUGGAUGUAGGAACUGGGUUAGACAUGAGGACACACUCUGGUGGAUGUAGGAAC